rnacentral:snRNA from 1 species
AGAAUGGCGUGAACCCAGGAGGUGGAACUUGCAGUGAGCUGAGAUUGCGCCACUGCACUCCAGCCUGGGCGACAGAA